CCAGACUCCUACGGGAGGCAGCAGUGGGGAAUAUUGCACAAUGGGGGAAACCCUGAUGCAGCGACGCCGCGUGAGUGAAGAAGUAAUUCGUUAUGUAAAGCUCUAUCAGCAGGGAAGAAAAUGACGGUACCUGAGUAAGAAGCCCCGGCUAACUACGUGCCAGCAGCCGCGGUAAUACGUAGGGGGCAAGCGUUAUCCGGAUUUACUGGGUGUAAAGGGAGCGUAGACGGCAUGGCAAGUCAGAUGUGAAAGCCCGGGGCUCAACCCCGGGACUGCAUUUGAAACUGUCAGGCUGGAGUGCAGGAGAGGUAAGUGGAAUUCCUAGUGUAGCGGUGAAAUGCGUAGAUAUUAGGAGGAACACCGGCGGCGAAGGCGGCCUGCUGGACCGAAACUGACGUUGAGGCUCGAAAGCGUGGGGAGCAAACAGGAUUAGAUACCCGCGUA
rnacentral:rRNA from 1 species